AGAGUUUGAUCAUGGCUCAGAACGAACGCUGGCGGCGUGCUUAACACAUGCAAGUCGCGUGCGCAGUUGCCGUAGCAAUACGGUGAUGGGCGCACGGCGCACGGGUGCGUAACACGUGGGCAUCUGCCCUUUGAUGGGGAAUAACCCGCCGAAAGGCGGGCUAAUUCCGCAUAAGAUUCCCGGAACUUCGGUUCUGGGAUUGAAAGCAGCAAUGCGUCGAAGGAGGAGCCCGCGCCCGAUUAGCUAGUUGGUGAGGUAACGGCUCACCAAGGCUAUGAUCGGUAGCUGGUCUGAGAGGAUGAUCAGCCACACUGGAACUGAGACACGGUCCAGACUCCUACGGGAGGCAGCAGUGGGGAAUCUUGCACAAUGGGCGAAAGCCUGAUGCAGCGACGCCGCGUGGGGGAUGAAGCAUUUCGGUGUGUAAACCCCUUUCGACUGGGACGAAUGCCUCGCAAGAGGAGUGACGGUACCAGUAGAAGAAGCCCCGGCUAACUACGUGCCAGCAGCCGCGGUAAGACGUAGGGGGCCAGCGUUGUUCGGAAUUACUGGGUGUAAAGGGUUCGUAGGCGGUGCGGCAAGUUGGGAGUGAAAUCUCUGGGCUUAACCCAGAGGCUGCUUCCAAAACUGCUGUGCUCGAGUGUGAGAGAGGCUCGUGGAAUUGCAGGUGUAGCGGUGAAAUGCGUAGAUAUCUGCAGGAACACCCGUGGCGAAAGCGGCGAGCUGGAUCACUACUGACGCUGAGGAACGAAAGCUAGGGGAGCAAACAGGAUUAGAUACCCUAGUAGUCC
rnacentral:rRNA from 1 species